UCCGUACCCCAUUCCCCCUCCCGUCCCCUCUCAUCGCCUCAGCUUCCGCUGCCACCAUGAGCCCCCCCCGGCCCCCCGCCCUUGUCCUGCUGCUCCUGGGGCUGGCUGCUGCUGCGCAGAGAGAGUCCGCCCCCUGCAUGCCGGGCCCGGGCCCGCUGGCGCUGCUGGUGGGCGCCGACGUCGCCAUGACGCUGCUGGUGGCGGGCGGGGCCUACUGCCUGGCCAGGAGGGGGCGCCCAGGUGGGCGGGGCCUAGAGGGGGCGGGGC